GCAUAGAAUAUUGCAUCAGUAGCAGUAGGCAGAGGGCUUUUCUUAACAAUUUCAUUCUUCAGAUUCUUGACCAGGACUUGGUUGGUGCUUUUCUCAAGCACUGCAAACCUGUUCCGAGCAACAAAAACUGCUGAUCCUCCAGUUCCCCUUUUGGCAUCUUGAACAGUAUCACCCCUACCAUAAGUGUCUUUAGGUAUAAUGUAUAGUUCAUAGGAGCCCCCAUCAACGUCCGAACAGAUCAAAAUAGCAUUCUCAGUAGGACUGUAGGAAAGCGUUCGUGGACCUUGGUUCAGACUGUUUGAACCAGGCCUUCUAAUUGGUAUCAACUGAUUCUCCUUCUGAGUUGAAUACUCGUACACACGGAGAAAUCGAUCCUUCACAUAAAACAAAGAAUCACCGCUCACAGAAAAAGCAGGGCGUUCUCUCUCCAACUUAAACACUAUCAUCCCACUGUCAUGACCAGCUGCUAGAAGAUUCAUCUCAGGAUGAGCUGCAAGGAUCCAAAAUCUGUCAUGCUCCCUGCGGAAAGUCUGGAGACCAGUCCUUUUUGUAGCAUCCCACACUCGAAUGCUCUUAUCCUCUGAAUUGGAAACAAUAAUAUCUUGCCUUGAAUGGAACAAAACACAAGAUACAUUGUUCAUAUGGCCUCUCAAUGUGUCCACCUCCCAGGCCUUUGUAUCAUUCAUCCGCCAGAUUUUCACCUGGCGAUCAUCCGCGCCAGACACAAUUAGGGGCAAUGUAGGGUGAAAUGAAGCCCAGUUAACUCCUCGAUCAUGACCCUCCAAGACAUACUUCACAACAGCAUCUACUCCACCAAAGAAGUCUGUAUUCAUCUGGCUCAAGCGCAAGAUGUCAUCAGCAGGAGAAACAGUUUUCUUCCUUAGAGCACCAAUAUCCCAGACCCGAACAGUCUGAUCCAAAGAUGCAGAGACAACCAAGUCCUCUUUGGGAUGAAAUAGGGCACACAUCACAUAAUGGUUGUGUCCAGUCAAGACAGAAAUACAAGUGCGAGACUGCCAGUUCCAUAUCCUGAUUGUCUGAUCAUCACUUGCACUGACAAUCCAGGGAUACUCAUGAUGAAAUUGGACAGUGCGAAUAUAAUCAAGAUGUCCAAGCAGCGUAAACAAGCACCGAUGCAGCUUAUAAUUCCAGACCUUUAUCUUAUAGUCAUCUCCUCCUGAUACAAAAAGAGGCUGAGACUUGUGAAAAUGAACGCCACGAACAGGACCAUCAUGUUCAUCAAAUCGAUCAAUAAGAGUUCCCAUACGGUAAUCCCAAAGCUGGAUCACACCGCUAUGAAGACUAGCUAAGAUCCAUGGCCUUUUGCUAUGAAAACUGAGCCCUUUCACUCGAUUACUCUUCGUUUCAAACUUCGUCAACAUCUUUCAAAAUUCCUCAAACGCAACAAAAUCAAAUGCUCAAAAAAAAACUAAUUUUGCUGUAUGUGAAACCCUAACUGGAUUUCGAGAUCAAAUUGAACUCAGAUCUGAUCGGAAAACUGCAUUUGAAAUGAAGAUCGGUGAACGGAGAGUGCGUAUGUUAAGGGAAGUUGUCUCUUUGUGUGUGUUUUUUUAGUGUGGCGUUAAA
rnacentral:misc_RNA from 1 species